GGUUCCGGCCAUAUCAGCCUGAAGGCGCCCGAUCUCGUCUGAUCGCCGAAGCUAAGCAGGGUCGGGCCUGCUUAAAAAAAAAAAAAAAAAGGUUCUCACUC
rnacentral:rRNA from 1 species